rnacentral:rRNA from 1 species
AACGUAGGAGACAAACGUUAUCCGGAGUUACUGGGCGUAAAGGGCGUGUAGGUGGUUUCGUAAGUCUGGCGUGAAAUUUUUCGGCUUAACCGGGAAAGGUCGUCGGAUACUGCGGGACUAGAGGACGGUAGAGGCGUGUGGAAUUCCGGGUGUAGUGGUGAAAUGCGUAGAGAUCCGGAGGAACACCAGUGGCGAAGGCGGCUCACUGGCCCGGUACUGACGCUGAGGCACGAAAGCGUGGGGAGCAAACAGG